AUUGAACGCUGGCGGCAUGCUUUACACAUGCAAGUCGAACGGUAACAGGCCGCAAGGUGCUGACGAGUGGCGAACGGGUGAGUAAUGCAUCGGAACGUGCCCAGUCGUGGGGGAUAACGCAGCGAAAGCUGCGCUAAUACCGCAUACGAUCUCUGGAAGAAAGCGGGGGACCGAAAGGCCUCGCGCGAUUGGAGCGGCCGAUGUCAGAUUAGGUAGUUGGUGGGGUAAAGGCCCACCAAGCCAACGAUCUGUAGCUGGUCUGAGAGGACGACCAGCCACACUGGGACUGAGACACGGCCCAGACUCCUACGGGAGGCAGCAGUGGGGAAUUUUGGACAAUGGGCGCAAGCCUGAUCCAGCAAUGCCGCGUGCAGGAAGAAGGCCUUCGGGUUGUAAACUGCUUUUGUACGGAACGAAACGGUCCUGGUUAAUACCUGGGGCUAAUGACGGUACCGUAAGAAUAAGCACCGGCUAACUACGUGCCAGCAGCCGCCGUAAUAC
rnacentral:rRNA from 1 species